rnacentral:rRNA from 1 species
GACGAACGCUGGCGGCGUGCUUAACACAUGCAAGUCGAACGAUGAAGCCGGAGCUUGCUCCGGUGGAUUAGUGGCGAACGGGUGAGUAACACGUGAGCAAUCUGCCCUUGACUCUGGGAUAACUGCGGGAAACUGUAGCUAAUACCGGAUACGACACCUUGGGGCAUCCCAGGGUGUGGAAAGAAUUUCGGUCAAGGAUGAGCUCGCGGCCUAUCAGCUAGUUGGUGAGGUAAUGGCUCACCAAGGCGACGACGGGUAGCCGGCCUGAGAGGGUGACCGGCCACACUGGAACUGAGACACGGUCCAGACUCCUACGGGAGGCAGCGGUGGGGAAUAUUGCACGAUGGGCGAAAGCCUGAUGCAGCAACGCCGCGUGAGGGAUGAAGGCCUUCGGGUUGUAAACCUCUUUUAGCAGGGAAGAAGCGAAAGUGACGGUACCUGCAGAAAAAGCACCGGCUAACUACGUGCCAGCCGCCGCGGUAA